UACGUAGGGGGCUAGCGUUGUCCGGAAUCAUUGGGCGUAAAGAGCUCGUAGGCGGUCUGUCGCGUCGAUCGUGAAAACUUGGGGCUUAACCCUGAGCUUGCGGUCGAUACGGGCAUGACUGGAGUUCGGCAGGGGAGACUGGAAUUCCUGGUGUAGCGGUGAAAUGCGCAGAUAUCAGGAGGAACACCGGUGGCGAAGGCGGGUCUCUGGGCCGAUACUGACGCUGAGGAGCGAAAGCGUGGGGAGCGAACAGG
rnacentral:rRNA from 1 species